ACGUAGGGUGCGAGCGUUAAUCGGAAUUACUGGGCGUAAAGCGUGCGCAGGCGGCUUUUUAAGCCAGAUGUGAAAUCCCCGGGCUUAACCUGGGAACUGCAUUUGGAACUGGAAGGCUAGAGUGCGGCAGAGGGGGGUAGAAUUCCACGUGUAGCAGUGAAAUGCGUAGAGAUGUGGAGGAAUACCGAUGGCGAAGGCAGCCCCCUGGGUCGACACUGACGCUCAUGCACGAAAGCGUGGGGAGCAAACAGGAUUAGAUACCCUGGUAGUCCACGCCCUAAACGAUGUCAACUAGUUGUUGGAGGAGUGAAAUCCUUUAGUAACGAAGCUAACGCGUGAAGUUGACCGCCUGGGGAGUACGGUCGCAAGAUUA
rnacentral:rRNA from 1 species